UGGGGAAUAUUGCACAAUGGGGGAAACCCUGAUGCAGCGACGCCGCGUGAACGAAGAAGGUAUUCGUAUCGUAAAGUUCUGUCCUAUGGGAAGAUAAUGACAGUACCAUAGAAGAAAGCUCCGGCUAAAUACGUGCCAGCAGCCGCGGUAAUACGUAUGGAGCGAGCGUUGUCCGGAAUUAUUGGGCGUAAAGGGUACGCAGGCGGUUUAAUAAGUCGAAUGUUAAAGAUCGGGGCUCAACCCCGCAAAGCAUUGGAAACUGAUAAACUUGAGUAGUGGAGAGGAAAGUGGAAUUCCUAGUGUAGUGGUGAAAUACGUAGAUAUUAGGAAGAAUACCAGUAGCGAAGGCGACUUUCUGGACACAAACUGACGCUGAGGUACGAAAGCGUGGGGAGCAAACAGG
rnacentral:rRNA from 1 species